rnacentral:rRNA from 1 species
AUUGAACGCUGGCGGCAGGCCUAACACAUGCAAGUCGAGCGAGCGGCGGAAGGGUGAGUAAUGCAGGGGGAUCUGCACGAUAGAGGGGGAUAACUACGGGAAAAGGUGGCUAAUACCGCAUACUAUCGGAUGACCCCAUAUGGGAUUAGCUAGUAGGUGGGGUAACGGCUGACCUAGGCGACGAUCUCUAGCUGGUUUGAUAGGAUGUGCAGCCACACGGAGACUGAUGCCCGGCCCAGACUCCGACGGGAGGCAGCCGUGUGGAAUAUUGCACAAUGGGCGCAAGCCUGAUGCAGCCAUGCCGCGUGUAUUAAGAAGGCCUGAGGGUUGUAAAGUACUUUCAGCGGGGAGGCGUGACCCGCAGAAGAAGCACCGGCUAACUCCGUGCCAGCAGCCGCGGUAAUAC